rnacentral:rRNA from 1 species
AGAAUGACUCUCGGCAACGGAUAUCUAGGCUCUUGCAUCGAUGAAGAACGUAGCGAAAUGCGAUACUUGGUGUGAAUUGCAGAAUCCCGUGAACCAUCGAGUCUUUGAACGCAAGUUGCGCCCGAAACCAUCAGGUUGAGGGCACGUCUGCCUGGGCGUCACAUA